ensembl:lncRNA
GUAAGUUGAAUGCUUCAUCUGUAGAUCAUCUUGACAGGUAAUAGUUACAGAAUGAGCCUCAGAUAUAUACUACUAUUUGGAACAACAACAAGACUUAUAAAAAGCAGCUGAAUUUUCCAUGUUUUUGCAUGUAUCUUUACCACCCAGAGGAGUGUUUACAGUGCUGCAAUCUCUAAGUGGGCUGAUGUUCAAAUCCUAGUACCAGCUUGAAUUUGCAACUGAACUCCUUACUAAAAUCACACGCAGCAGUGAUUUCCAGGAAUGCAGUGAUGUCCAGGAAGGCACUGAUGUCCAGGAAGGACCAUAUUCCAUGGUCUUUGGAGAGAUCUUGUCGUUACUUGCCUGCUGAAUUUAGGAUCUUUGUUACCUUAAUCCUAAAUAAAACUGCUCUUAAAACGUCAUUCAAGGCCCUUUUUCAGUAUUUGUUUACCCUGAGCUGUUCUGAGGUUCUUACAAGACAUGUACACCU